AAUGGGCGAAAGCCUGAUCUAGCCAUGCCGCGUGAGUGAUGAAGGCCUUAGGGUCGUAAAGCUCUUUCGCCAGGGAUGAUAAUGACAGUACCUGGUAAAGAAACCCCGGCUAACUCCGUGCCAGCAGCCGCGGUAAUACGGAGGGGGUUAGCGUUGUUCGGAAUUACUGGGCGUAAAGCGCACGUAGGCGGACUAUUAAGUCAGGGGUGAAAUCCCGGGGCUCAACCCCGGAACUGCCUUUGAUACUGGUAGUCUUGAGUUCGAGAGAGGUGAGUGGAAUUCCGAGUGUAGAGGUGAAAUUCGUGGAUAUUCGGAGGAACACCAGUGGCGAAGGCGACUCACUGGCUCGAUACUGACGCUGAGGUGCGAAAGUGUGGGGAGCAAACAGGAUU
rnacentral:rRNA from 1 species